GUAGCUGUAAUGCAUAUAGAUCUAGGUGCAGUAGAACCAAUCUGGCCAUACUGACUCUGUACACAAUCCCAAGCUUAAGUGAUGGGAAGGAUAACUUAAAAUAAUUUCUUUUGAAUCUAAUCUAAUCUAAACCACUGGUUCUCAAACUGUGGUACCAUUACCAAAGGUGGUAUGCAACCUCCCUCUAGUGGUACGCGGAUGGAAUCUCUGAUAUAUUU